CGAAAUGGCGGGAAAAAAUCAUGCCCUGUAUAAACUCGGCUCCGUCUAUGUACCGUCUAUCAGCGGCGCAUUGGUAUGAGUAAACUAGUCUGACUUCGUCCGAUUUACGGGUCAACAUCAGAGAAGGCAGCAUGGAGAGGAAGAACAAAAAACGAGGUAAAACAACGCAGAAAAACGAAGUUAAAGUAUCGGAAGACGAAGUUGCAGCUGAGGCUGACGAUGCAACAGAAACAGAAGUGAAGAAACCGAAACUGUCUACAAGAGAAAUUAGCGAUGUGAAUCACGUCAUCAACCUCACCAUUGAACACUGCAAAUCCUGACGAGUGUUUGAGCGUAGAGCUACGGAACUUGCUGAUGCUCUACGCAGUCACUUCAGUGAAGUGAGCCUGACCUUGAACCCUGAGAAGCCACGCCGUGGCAGCUUUGAGAUCACUCUGAACACCGAGGAUGGAUCAGAUGUCCUCGUGUGGACCGGCCUCAAGAAGGGCCCUCCAAGGAAACUGAAGUUCCCGGACAGUGAUGUCAUAGCCAAGGAGAUUCAAAAGAACCUGAAGUGAAGUAACAGUUAAGGCGUAUUGGUGACUGCCAUUGCUCUGUGUGACUGUCUGGAUGAAGGAGUUCGACACAAGAUGUACAUCUGUUGGAUACUGGAAGGUUGACAGACAACAGACCACUGGUACGAGCAUCAAUGAAGCCUGGCUGGGAUAUUCAGACGGGAUCGCCAAAACACUGUUGUGCUGACAUUUUGUGUGUAUGGGUGAAUCUGUUGUGACAAUUGAAUUUUUAAUAAAAUGUCUCAAAUGUG